rnacentral:rRNA from 1 species
UACAGAGGUCUCAAGCGUUGUUCGGAUUCAUUGGGCGUAAAGGGUGCGUAGGUGGCGCGGUAAGUCGGGUGUGAAAUCUCGGAGCUUAACUCCGAAAUUGCAUUCGAUACUGCCGUGCUCGAGGACUGGAGAGGAGACUGGAAUUCAUAGUGUAGCAGUGAAAUGCGUAGAGAUCAUGAGGAAGACCAGUGGCGAAGGCGGGUCUCUGGACAGUUCCUGACGCUGAGGCGCGAAGGCCAGGGGAGCAAGCGGG